UUCGGAUUUGACACCAGGCCCUCGGCCAAUCCGAGAGGGCUUUUCACCUGCCAUCGCUUCCUCCGCCAAUCAGACGGCGUGUUUGGGCCGAGAGCCCUCCCCGGCCAAUCGGGAGCCGGCUGAGCCACUUAGUUAAUGAUGCAGCAGUACAGGGAAGACUAUCACAUGUGAGCUGGAAGGCUGCCAACAUGGAGACACGGAGAGAGCAAGCUGGUGUGGAAGCGUCUGGAAGGCACCGUGUACCUGUCCCCAGUGCUUUUAAAAACUGGCCGACGUGCCCUGCAAUGAUCACUGCGUCACCGUUUGCCACUUUCCGAACUACGCAGUGGCAAAGCCCCGAGCCCAGCUCACAGGGUGGCUGUUAACCCCUGCACCCAGCCCUGCCUCCACGCCAGCCCUCGGGGGGACGGCAGGGAAUAAAAAGCCCGAGCAAAACACGAAAACAGCAGUCUGCAAAGUUGUCAUCUCUCCCCCACGACUACUGCCCUCCUCUGCAUUACAGCAAUGCCGGCAAGAGUGGCAUUCGUACAACCUGUACCGACGUUCCAUUGAGAAAACAGCUCUGACGCAGAGCAGAGCAAUCAUACCCAGCCGAAAUAAUAAUGAAGGCACUUGGGGAGCUGAACUUAGGGACGAUGGGGGAAGGGGACGCCCUGCAAAGCAUUACAAAACGUAGAUGCAGCUCCAGCCCCAUCCUGAUCAAAGGGUACGUACGUGGGAAAGACGAACCGGACCGAGGAGCUCUGCCCGUGCACCAGCUGCGCAGCGUUCAGCCCUCUGCUUGCUGUGUAGCGCCGCAGAAUAGAAGGUUCCAGAAUUUUCCUUUCCGUUAACCCUUUCGGUGUCUGCCCACUCUCCCUCCCCGCGGGAUUAAGCGCGCCGGGUCUCCAGCAUCGUCAACGGGCGAAGCCUCCUACGCCAACCGAGCCCAGAUAUGUUCUCUAAAUGACACUGUCUGGUGUCAGGAGCUCCGUCCCUGGUGUUGGUAUUACUUCUCUUUCUUGAGCCCUCUCUCCCUCUCCGGCUGCUUCUCUCCCCUCUUGCUGCAGCAGGGCUGUUGCUGGUAGACCUAUCGACGGAGCUUGCUCUCUCGCUGAGCUCUGUGACGCAGCUCUAAAUUCUCCAGCCUGCUCCUUGUGUUAUAACAGCGGAACUGCAGCCUUCCAGGGAGCCCGUGCCAGCAGUGCCAGGGCCAGGCACACCGAGGGAGCCUCACUCCUGGACGCUGCACCUUUUUUUGCGUCUGAAGAGCCUGAGCUAUUUUGGGAUUUGUCUGUACUACACUGAAAAUGACACCUGUUACACACAGGCAUAAAUGAGAAGAAUUGCAAGCUCCUGGUUUCUCAGAUACAGUUCUGCCACGGAAAAAAAGAUAGGAGCUGGGGGUGUGGGAGGGCAGCCCUGGCUCUCAGCGUGGGGUGAGGAACUGACCCUUGUGUAGUCAGACAGCAGUACAGGGAGUGCAUGAGGCUUGUUGCAUCUGAUGCAGACCUCCCUGUGACCAAGAGCAGUAGUGCUUGAUCAUCGAAACGCUGCAAGAUGGGGUUUCAUACAUGACCAAACCCAUGGGACUUCAAGCCUUACAGAUCUGCUUUGUGGCCAAAGCUGCAAGCGUUAACUGUUUCAGUUAAUUGUAAGAGUGCUUCAGCUACUUAAAUGAGUCACUCAGCAGUGAUGCUCUGAAGUAGGCCAGCGUUUUGUGCAAGGUUACGCAGUUGGUUUCCGUUACCCCUGAGUUAUCUCAGAAGCUCAACCACCACACAGAGGCAGAGCGGAUUUCCGUGUUCCCCAUUGCUGUGUCUGCCUGCAGCCGAUCUGCAGUGCCCCAGGGAGGUGUCAGCAGCGUGCAGACCACCCCGCAGCCCCCAGGCACUGAGCAUGGCAGUGGGAUGGACAGAGCCUGAGAAUUGGGAUGGCUGAUGGGCAUGCUUGGCUCCCAGCAACGCUGGUAUAUUAAGAAAGUAAAACAGAGGUUUGGCUUAGUUCAAAUGGUAUGCUUUUGGUUGCUUUCAAGGGAAGAGCAGUGUUUAUUUAAUGGGUUGCUUUUGUUUGAAAAUGACCAGCCGUGGGACAUUUCUGUCUUUACCUGAUCAUAAAGCAUUUACUCUGUGGAGGCACUUCAGCUCCCAAGGAGGAUCAAAGCCACUGUGCCCUGUGAAGCGCUCAGGUAUGCAACUGAAAACACGCUGAGCAAUGGAAAGGUUGGUUGGGAUAUGGCGUUGUCUGUGAGCUGAAGUAUGCAAAUAGCUGAAAUAAAAGCUAUGAUUCCACGGUGGAAAUCAAGGCUCCUGUUUUAAGUGGAUCUUAUGGACAUACAUGGUACCACCUUAUUAUUUUUUUUAAUCAUCUGAACUUUGGUUUUGUAAGGACUGUGAGGAAGCAAUGUCUGGUGCUAGAAGGCGAGCUUGGCAGCUGGAAAGAGCCCAUGGCAGUGGUGAGAGGCAGCCAGAGGGGUCUGUCUGUGUGUGAUGUAGUGGCUGUGUCCAUUCUAAAGCAGGACAGGUGCGUGGGAAAGGACUGGAAAGCAAUUCAUCAGUGAGCAGAAGUGCAGGCUGCUUGUUGCUUGUAUGCCAACAGAACGUAGAGCUGCAUCCUCAGUUCUCUGGCAUCUUCUGUGUUAUUUUCUGCUGUCAUGCUACAAUGGCCUUAAUAGCAAUAACAUAUGGAGAGUGAAGUUAUGAAAAUCUAACACUUGCAAAUGUCAUCCAAUGCCUUGUGGUGUUGUGGGUGAUAAAAUAACCUUGGCUGUCCCCGGAGAAAGGUCCUUGGUCUUUUUAAUGAUGAGCAGAGCCCCGGUGGUGCUGUGUAGUGCUUCAACUUCCCGCUGGUGAGGGCUUGGCUCGGGUUCCAAUUUAAAUGCCAUCAGCCACACCUUCCUCCCAACUGCAGGAAGCUGCGAUUGUUAAAAUCAGGGCAUGUUCCUGUUUAACUAAAAGGCUGAGAUCAAAUAAGCCAAAGGCCUCAGCAAUGCCAAACAAAUUCCUGCCCAAGACUCAGCAAGCCUGUGCAGCUGUAAAUGUGUGUAGUGCCCGACCUCAGCAUCCACGUGAGUGACGUCUCAAGGCGUCACCCUGGGAGCAGGCAGUCGGGACAAUGCGGGCAAGUUAAUGUCACACUUACUGAGUAAUAAUGCUUAGCACAAAGGUCGUCAGCUUACCAACCAAAUGUCCUGGAAUCCAAGCGGUGGUGUUUCUCAGGUGCUGACGUGGGAUCCUGCAUUGUAUCUGAAAUUAACGUAGUUUUGUGUAUGGGAAGGCUGAAUCAAAUAAAGGUUCACUAAUUUGGCUCAGACUGCAUGUGGAUUCGGGGUCAAAGCUGAGAUGGAAAUUUGGAAGUUCCUAAACGCUAAAUUUUACUCCAGCUGCACCUCUUGCUUAAUUGUAGUCCUUAUUACACAGGAGUCAAUUAGAGAGACUUAACAGCCAUCUGAAACAGAAGCUGCCGGAACAGUGCGGCUUUUAGAGGAAAUUGAUAGGAAAUUAUAUAGAGGAGGUACUUUCUUUCAUUUUUCAAAGAAAAGCAGAAAUAAAACUUUAAGGUUUUGCUUCUGUUCUCGUGUGGAUGUGGGCAGUGACAGAUGGGUCGUGGUUCUGCAAUGCUGCCCUACCAGCGAGGCGGUCCGGAUUUCAGAAACCCAGCUGGGUCCAUGGGGAAAUGUUCUGCACAGUGUGCUGAAUUUCCUUCUGCUGCAGCAGUAAUAGGAAACUUACCGAGUCAAAUGUUUAGGUUUAGCUUGUUGUUGUGUUGUUUUGCUUUGUUUUUUUUCUUGAAAGGUUUAUUGCUAUCCGGAUGAUUUUCAUUAGUGCAUGUGGCUGUGAUGAGCUCAACCACCAUCGCUGUGAUACACAUCUUUGCCAGCCCAGCGUGUGCUCACUGUGGUCCCAUCCAACCAUAGAGCAGGUUUCCUGUUUCACAUGGGGACACCAAGGCUGUGAAUGGACGGAGGGUCGCUGUGCUCAGCCCCCAGCCCUGGAAGGCAUCUGAGAGCCCAGCUGACCAGUAGACCUCACCGAGGUUUUUUCCCAGACUGGAAGGUUUCCACCAAGUCAUGAAGAUGGUUGUGUUUGGGAUGGUCCGGUGGAUCCUGUGCCUCGUGUCAGCUCUGCCGUUUGGGGAAGGUGGGACAGCAGCAGUCUUUGAGCUGAAAUCAUCUGAUUUGCCUCCAGAGCACAUUUUCAUAUUGGUGUUCAUAGAAAUAUUGCUGAAAGCCAUUUGUGGACUCAGUGUUGCUCCUGUUGUUUUCCUAUAUGGUAGGCUGAGACAUUGCAGCUCUCUUAGGCUGUUGAGGACUAGAAGAUGGCCGUGGGCUGGGCAGGUCUUCAGCAGUGACUCUGGGGGAGUAGGUGAGCAUGCUGUUUUCCAACAGAAAUAGCAAACAUUCCUCUCUGAAGAUAUGGCUGAUAAAAAGGAUAGAUUCUGGCACUGACCGGCUGUGCUCUGUGGGAUGGGCUUUUGGGCAUUUCCAGCAACUGUGGAUGCCAGCUCUUGGCUUACAGACCUUGGUGCUGAACACAUGGGCAUUGUGUGCAGAUCCAUGCAGUACAUGUGAUGAGCAGAGAGCCGCAAUGUAGAAUUCUGGACUGACUUGGAGAGCUCCUUUUUAAGACUCAGAGCGUGAACAUGUCUGGAGGAGCAGGGAGGCUGAACUUGUGCACUUGGGGGUGGAUGGUGGCCUCCUCCAACCCAAGUAUGACGCGGGAUGAGACCUCUCACCAUGAGAUAAGACCCCAUGACCCGAGAUGCUGCACUCCAUGCCACACUGGCUCAGGUUAACCCGCAGCCCUGUUUUCCACACGUAACCAUGGUAACCCGAAUUAUCUAGCAGAGGUGCACACCAGGCCAAUUUGUCACAGCUGCUCCUCCAAACCCACUGUGUCUGCAUCGCCUGAGCCUGCACAGAGCAGGAGGACGUCUCUGUGGCUUUGCCAUUCCUAAUGCAAUCCCAGCGCAGGCAGUGGGAGGUGGGGAGAAGGAAGAGGAAGAGGACGAAUGCCAGUGCAGUUCCUGCACAAUGCUGGCUCUCAGCAGUACGAUUAGUUACUUGGCAACGAGAGCAAGGUGUGUCAGAGUGGAUGGGACACAAACAGCCCCAGCAACAGCUCCAGGAGAACUCUCAGCUAGUACGGCUCAUCUGGUUUUGCCAUGGAGCACUUAGCUGAAGGAAUUAAGUAACACCUGGAAGCAGCCUCCCACUGAGCACAUUACACAACAACCUCGUUGCCCAUAUUUUCCAUGCAAUGCCAUGUGGUGGAACUGUGUUCAGCAGAACAAAAGUUGCCUGUCUUGCCCUUCUCAUGCAGCUGAGGGAUGGCUGGGGCUGCGCUCAGGGGGACAGCACGAAUUUCUGCACUGAAAUGGAGGGAUUUAAUGGUUGCUGAUGCUCAGGAAGUGCUGUGGAUCCACUCAGUAGUAACAACUGGUUUUCCUCAAAAGAGGAAUAAGCCUUUGGAUUUCCUGAAACCUAAACCAUAAGAAAGGUAUUGUAAGACUUUACUGUGGAGCCAAACAGCACCAAAGGGAGAAAGGACACCUGCAGGACUCCCAGGAAGGUUGGAAACCACACUUAUAUUCUUUUGUAAACAUAUAAACGUGGUUUCCAUGCUCAUUUCUUGUUGUACAAGAGUAAGAGAGGGCUUAGUUCCAUCUCUUGAGACAAUUGCAUAGAAAAGGAGGAGCUGAUGUAAAUGAGCAAUUGAGAAUUACCUACACAUGAGCAGCACUGCCCAGAGGACUCAACAGGUGCCCAGUGCCAGGCCAUUAACUCUGAAGGACUGGUGGCCAAGGCCAGCAAAGCACAGGAAAACUGUGCUUAGGUGAGGAAUGCUGAAUGGGACAUCAGCAUGCAUUGGUAAUUCUGCCUCCCAGUGCCAGGACACAAGGAAAUUCUGCAUGCCUCAGGGGGCGGGUGGGGGGGGCGGUGUCUGUAAGUCACAGCAUUAAAGCAUCUGCAUUAACCUCCUUGCUCUGCUUUGAUUGUUUUCCUACAGCCCCUACAGGUGAAUCUGUGGCAAGGUAGAAGGUCCAUGGUUCUCAUAAGGAAGUGAAGGAGUUGCAAAAUGGGAGCUUCUGCAGAAAAGUGUCUUCUGGCACUAGCUGUGCCCCAUUCCUACCAUCAAUAAGCCUUGGGUGAAAAGAGGGAGGUGCUCCAGGGGGACUUGGGAAAGCAGACUGGAUGUGACAGUGAAAAAUAAGGCUAUUGGAGGCACACAGCCAUGAGCCAGGAAUGGCUGAGCCCUGAGUCCCACAGGGACUCCCUCCAUAGGUCCGCCUACAGGAGCACCAGGCUCCCACGGGUUCACUUUCAGCUGCUGAGAGCCAUUCUAUCCUUAGCACUGCCCUCCCCAGAGCUGCCACAAAUGUGUUCUGCACUGUGAGUCCAGAGAUCCACAGCUGCAGCUCUGGAGUGGGAGCUUUCCUUGGCAGCUCUGGGUGAGACGUGGGCGAGGGCACCAGUGGAAGGAGCCCCGUUACGCCCUGACCCGUGUGAGCACACGUCUGUUUCUGCGCAGCCUCCCUCGCAGACCCGCCGAAAUCUGGGUUAUAUAAUGCCACUGCUGCCUCGAAACAGGGAGGUUAAAAUGAGGUCGUCCAAGAUGGGAGCUGCCUGCAGCCUGCAGCCGCCUCGGGAGGACUGCCUGCGCCGAGCCCUGCGCGCAGAGGAGCACUGCAACAUAAACAUACAGAAACAUAGGUCAGGAUGCUGGAAGUCUCCGGAGCGCUCAUGGUGUGGAAUCAGGCCCAUUUCUUUAUUUGCAACUCCCUGUUUAUGUGACGAACUGUGCUGAGCAGGCAGCGUGACGGGCUGCGGUCACAGGGCACUGCAGAGCUGCGGGGUGCCAGAUCCACACAGCGCAGAGCUCUGUGCCACAGCCAGCCCCAGGUGUUACCCUUUUUAAGCAUGUUUUAAGGGUGCAAGGUCUACAUUAUUCCUUCCAUCAUUGCUUUAUUUGCAGUAUGCCAGGGAAAGGCCAUCGCUCCAAGGGGAUCCACGUAAGAAAGUAUAGGACUGUAAUAGAAAAAGCAAGAAUUCUAUUGCAUUAAAGCAGAUAUUCUUUUUCCAGAACACUAAUGCAAUUCCUCCAGAACAAAGAGUGGAAGCUUCCUCCUGUAAAUGCAUUUCACAGAGACCACAAGGUGGGAAACGUGGGGCUGUUUGAGGGGAGCUGCUUGGGAUGAGCACAUCAGUGAGUUCAGCACUGGGCAUUGGGUGAUUCCAUGACUGGAGGGCCACUAAAACCAACACGCUGCUGCAAACAAAGAGACAAAAGUCACAUUACCAGGAGCACAUGAGUUUGAGGAAGACCUACUCCCUCCUAACAGCAUGUGAAAACACCUGAUUUCCCAUUGUCAUGGUAAGCCUUUCCUUCAAAGCACUCCUAAUUUGUUUCCUGAUCCUCCAGCUUCUUGGUUGGUGCCAGAACAGAGCAGUGAGGGCUGGAGAGUUGUUGGCAGGACAGCAGCUGGGGAACAGUCUUUGUCUUUGACAGCAAGCGAUGGACAGUGCUUCUGUCCCACUGGGGGGAAUUUCUGCAUCACCAUCACUAAACUGGAUACAUGUGGGAUGAUUGCUGACCACAGAAAGAAGCCGAAGAUGAACCACCUACCUGCUGAAGGCAGAGGAUCAGCGCUGCUCCAGCCUUGCUCCUUGUUGGUACACAAGUUAGGCAAGUUACUUCGGGUAGAGAUCCCAGUGGGGGAUGGAGCCCUGUGUUAUCCUCCAAAGGGUCCCAGUUUGUGCAGGCAAUAUAACUGCACAUCAGUCUUUGCUGCUCCACAGCAGCACUCCCUUUGGGUUACUUCUCUGCUGAUUUUCAGAGGGAGCAGUUGGGCUGAGAACCCAGAGGGGCAGCCUGGCCAAUGCAGUGUUGCAAACUCUGCCCCAUCCUGGCAGAGCAAUGCAAAGGCAGGGAGUUACCCCGAGUAAAACCCUUGCUCAGAUGGACCAUGAACGCAGCCACAGGAUAAGGUAGCAACCCAUAACGUAGGUAAGAAGCAUUUUGCAAAGGGGCAGUGCGUAAAAACAAGCCUGAGCAAAAGGAAAGUUAAGCCUCUUAAAUAUUAAAGUUCCAAAAUUAAACCCUUGUUUAUAUAACAGUUGGGUCACUGCUGCAGAACACGGGAGUUCACAGCAUUGCACCAAAAAAGGCUCUCGUGGAGCCAACAGCUGCUCCCCAGGGGCUCAGAGCAGGUGGGGAGCAGAGCUGCAGCCAGGAGGAUGCUCGUAGGGUUCAGCUGCCCUGACACGAAGUCUGCAGUCACCCCAUAAAGCAGUGCAACCCUUCGGGAUGUGCCUUGGAAGUUGGUGUAGGGGGAUGUCCGGCCCAUUCCUGCCUGCCCCCCUGCUUCGGUUUGGCUCAUCGCAGGUGAUAGCACAGCAACACAAGGCAAAUGCAUGCACAAAACAUAGAGAAUAACUUCAUGAAGUUUCUCUGCUGCUCAGUUAUCUUCAAAAAGCCAUCUAGAAAGGCCCGCAGAUACACCCCUACUUAUUAUUUUGUAAGAAAAGAGCACAAAAGAACUUAAUCCAAAGUAAAUAUUUAACCAAACAGCAAUUAACUAACAAUGAUGGAUUGUAAACAGCGCUGCUCCGAGGCUGAGCUGCAGCUCUCCUCUGUUUCUCUGGGCUACGGCUGCCCUAAGGGGGAAGGCAAGUUUACCGAGUCAGAUUUGUCUCUGCCACCUCGCUAUUAAAAGGCUCUACAAACAGAAACGGCAUCGGAUGAUCUGAGAGCGAGGAAAACAAUAAAGAACACAGCAAUGCAGGGCACGGGAGUUGUAAGGCUUUAUGGAGCAACUGUCCUUGGGAAGGAGGGCUGAGCAAACACGAAGCUGUAAAGGAACUGCUUCCCAUCCGGGCAGCUUGUGUGAUACAUCCCAUGGGGCAGCAGUCCCACUUACCCACGAGGAAGUAGUGAUAAUAACAAUAAUAAUAAUAAUGUAUUUUAAUAUUUUAAUACUUAAUACUUAUUAAAUUAUUAUUAUGUCCCAUUUGUUAUUGUUAUGCUCCAUUAUCAUUAUGUUCCCUUCGGGAAGAUGUCCCCCCCACGGAUCACUACUUCCAUAAUAAUAAUAAUAAUAAUAAUACCACCACCACAAAUUCUAGUAAGUAUUAUCUCUUAUUUCCCACCCCCAGGUGCCUCCGGCAGCUGCAGCAGCCCGGCCAGGCUCUGUCCGUGCCCCCACCUGCACCAUGGCCCAGGGAAAGGGGUGGUUAUGGGGCGGGGUGGUGCACGGGGGACGCUCCCAUCCCGGCCCCUCUCCGCUCUGUCCCCGCGGCUCCCGGCGCGUCCCCCCCCCGGACGCUCCCGAGCGGAGGAAGAGGCGGCCGCUGCCCCCCCCCGCCGCGCCACAAGGU
ensembl:lncRNA